rnacentral:rRNA from 1 species
GUCUGGUGCCAGCAGCCGCGGUAAUUCCAGCUCCAAUAGCGUAUAUUAAAGUUGUUGCAGUUAAAAAGCUCGUAGUUGAAUUUCGGGAUCAGAUUGUUGGUCGUGCCUCGGUACGCACUGGCAUUAUUGGUUCCUACCUUCUGAAGAACCGCGAUGUCAUUAAUUUGGUGUCGUGGGGAAUCAGGACAGUUACUUUGAAAAAAUUAGAGUGUUUAAAGCAGGCGCACGCUUGAAUACAUUAGCAUGGAAUAAUGAAAUAGGACGUUUGAUUCUAUUUUGUUGGUUUCUAGGAUCGACGUAAUGAUUAAUAGGGAUAGUUGGGGGCAUUAGUAUUCAAUUGUCAGAGGUGAAAUUCUUGGAUUUAUUGAAGACUAACUACUGCGAAAGCAUUUGCCAAGGAUGUUUUCAUUAAUCAAGAACGAAAGUUAGGGGAUCGAAGACGAUCAGAUACCGUCGUAGUCUUAACCAUAAACUAUGCCGACUAGGGAUCGGAUGAUGUUAAUUUUUUAAUGACUCAUUCGGCGCCUU